rnacentral:rRNA from 1 species
UACGUAGGGUGCGAGCGUUAAUCGGAAUUACUGGGCGUAAAGCGUGCGCAGGCGGUUCGUUGUGUCGGUGGUGAAAGCCCCGGGCUUAACCUGGGAAUGGCCAUGGAAACUGGCGAACUGGAGUGUGGCAGAGGGGGUGGAAUUCCGCGUGUAGCAGUGAAAUGCGUAGAGAUGCGGAGGAACACCGAUGGCGAAGGCAGCCCCCUGGGCUGACACUGACGCUCAGGCACGAAAGCGUGGGGAGCAAACAGG